GAUGAGCGCUGGCGGUGUGCCUAAUACAUGCAAGUCGAGCGAACGGACGAGAAGCUUGCUUCUCUGAUGUUAGCGGCGGACGGGUGAGUAACACGUGGAUAACCUACCUAUAAGACUGGGAUAACUUCGGGAAACCGGAGCUAAUACCGGAUGAUAUUUUGAACCGCAUGGUUCAAAAGUGAAAGACGGUCUUGCUGUCACUUAUAGAUGGAUCCGCGCUGCAUUAGCUAGUUGGUAAGGUAACGGCUUACCAAGGCAACGAUGCAUAGCCGACCUGAGAGGGUGAUCGGCCACACUGGAACUGAGACACGGUCCAGACUCCUACGGGAGGCAGCAGUAGGGAAUCUUCCGCAAUGGGCGAAAGCCUGACGGAGCAACGCCGCGUGAGUGAUGAAGGUCUUCGGAUCGUAAAACUCUGUUAUUAGGGAAGAACAUAUGUGUAAGUAACUGUGCACAUCUUGACGGUACCUAAUCAGAAAGCCACGGCUAACUACGUG
rnacentral:rRNA from 1 species